rnacentral:lncRNA from 10 species
GAUAUGAACAGAAGCAGGCAGAGGAUGAAGCUGAUGGUGUGCAUGGUCACUGUGCUCCUGCCCAUUUUUGAGCUUCUGGAAUACAAGCUGUGCCUUUGCCUGGAAUGUCCCUCCCAGUCUGACUAGGCAUCUUCUGAUGGGGUUUGACCUGGUUGCUUCUAACACUAGGAUGGACCUCUUGGCAAUCUCUGGAUAUCUUUCUGUGGUUUGUUAUAAUGGGAGAAGAAGAAGCACUCCCAUCUAGAUUGCUGUAUCAGAAUGGACUGUUAUGAUUGCAAAUGGCAGAAACCUAACUCAAUGCAACUAUAACAAUGAGGGAAAUGUCUUGGCAGCUCUUGAAAUCCAUGGAAGAACAAAAUGAUCCAGGUGCUGGAGGGACAGCAACAGAGCUGGACCUCAGGUGCUGCUGGAGCCAGAGGCUCAAUUUUCACUAGUCUUCCUUCCAGCUUCAUCUCUGUCUCUAUCAGUGUAUUGAUAUUCUUCUCUCUCAAUACAGCCUGGUUCUUUCCACAUAGUCCCAGCGCAGCAUUUAUCACACUCUGUAUUAACUUAUUUAUUUGUUUUCUUGCUUACUUUCAGUCUCUCAGUACAAUAAAAUAUGUUGAAGGCAAAAAUCCUAUGCAUUUCUGUGUCCCUUGCACCCAGUGAAGUGUCUGGAGCAUAGAAGAUGCUCAAUAAAUAUUAAUUGCAUAAAUCAGUGGUAGAAAACAUAGCAACCAACUUAUUCAGUGUUUAAUAUCCAACAACUUUAGUUCCUGGAAAAAAGCUAACAAAACUCUCUAGGGUUCUGCUCAAAAAAUAAAAUGAGUUAAUGAGAAAAACAAGUAAAAUCUCAGGGAAGGGACUUAUUUGUCCAGCUAGGCCAUAUGCUUACCCUUGGACCAAACAGUAGUAACUAUUGCCUGUGAUAAUGUCUUUGCAUCUAUGUGAAGCAGGGGAGGAGAAUCUUUUAGAAAAAGGUCAUAGGAGGAAAUCCCAGAGGAGUCAACACACUCACAGAGUUGUUGUGGAGAUCAAAUGAGCCAUUGCAGAAGAGGGUGCUUUGGAGAGCUAUUAUGAAGUUCCCAUUUUUGUAGGUCAAAAUUGAUCAAAUAUUGGCAAUUUUAUAUAUUUCCACUUAAUGUAAAAGUGUUAAAGAUGUUAUAUGGAUGUAAAAUAUGACUAAUUUGAUUUCAAGUCAGCAGAAUAAGAAAAGAAAACCAUGUUUUUAAGAUGAAGGGUUAAGUUGAUUCCCUUUUAUAAUGAUGGUAGCCGAAUAUGGUUAGCAUGUGCUAGCUUUAUGGGGAGCAGUGCUACAUGGGUUAUCUCAUUUUUUUCUUCCAACCCUUCCAUGAGAUAGGUACUAAUAAUUACAUCCCCAUUCUACAGACAAAGAAACUAAAGUUUCAAUGAGGUUAAACUAUUUGCUCCAGAUGACACAGUUCAAAAAG